GGGGGCGGGCCGGUGCCAGCGUGGACCCGUCACGUCUCGCGCUGCGGGUUCGACUCCCGUCGCCUCCA
rnacentral:tRNA from 1 species